UCCUACGGGAGGCAGCAGUGGGGAAUAUUGGACAAUGGGCGAAAGCCUGAUCCAGCCAUGCCGCGUGUGUGAAGAAGGUCUUCGGAUUGUAAAGCACUUUAAGUUGGGAGGAAGGGUUGUAACCUAAUACGUUGCAAUUUUGACGUUACCGACAGAAUAAGCACCGGCUAACUUCGUGCCAGCAGCCGCGGUA
rnacentral:rRNA from 1 species